rnacentral:rRNA from 1 species
AUGGCGACUAAGCUCGCAGCCCUCGUCGUCUUGGUCGCGUUCCUCGCCGGGCCCGCAGCGUGCGAGGGCGCCUUCAUUUGCUUCAACGGCUGGCUGAGGCUUCCCAUCAUCUGUCCUCGCGGCUCCGGCACUCCGCGGGAGCCGGUCCCUUCUACCUCGGGGUCAGGGCUCAGCUAUGGCUAUUACACCACCAGCUGCCCUAGCGCGGAGACGAUCGUCACGGAGGCCGUGAGGAAGGCCGUGGUCGUGGAUAAGAACCCCGGCAUUGGCGCGGGGCUCAUCCGUCUCUUCUUCCACGACUGCUUCGUUCGGGGGUGCGAUGCGUCCGUCCUCCUCAACACGACCAACUCCAAGAACAGUGACACGGAGAGGGAAGGCCCUCCCAACAAAAACAGCCUGCGAGGGUUCGAGGUGAUCUACGAGGCCAAGACAGCGAUCGAGGCCGCCUGCAAGAAUACAGUCUCAUGCGCGGACAUCGUCGCCUUCGCCGCCCGCGACGCGUCCUACUUCCUCAGCGACGGCAGCAUCAAUAUCCCGAUGCCAGGCGGCCGCUACGACGGGCGCGAGUCCUUCGCCAGCGAGACCGACCAGCUGCCCGGGCCCUUCUCCAACGUCCCGCAGCUCCAGGCAAGCUUCGCGGCCAAGGGGCUCAACCCCGUCGAGAUGGUCACGCUCUCCGGCGCGCACACCAUCGGCCGCGCCCGUUGCAUGUUCUUCUCCAGCCGCUUCUCUGAGAUGAACCAGACAUAUGCCGCCAGCCUCAUGGCCGAGUGCGGCGACAACGGUAACACCAACGUGAACCAAGACUAUGUGACCUCCAACGUCCUGGACAAGCAGUACUACCAGAACGUGAUCGACAACAAAGUGUUGUUCACCUCGGACGCCGUGCUCAACUCGACGGAAGAAACGAGAACGGAGGUGAUGCAAAACGCUAACACGGCCGGGGCGUGGGAGAGGAAGUUCGAGAAAGCCAUGGAGAAAAUGGGAAAAAUCAAAAGCGACCAGCAAAGCGUGGAGAUCAGGAAGGUAUGUUGGAAAGUCAACAACAACUACAAAUAA